rnacentral:rRNA from 1 species
UACGGAGGGUGCAAGCGUUAAUCGGAAUUACUGGGCGUAAAGCGUGCGCAGGCGGUUUGUUAAGUCUGCUGUGAAAUCCCCGAGCUCAACUUGGGAAUUGCAGUGGAUACUGGCAAGCUGGAGUACGGUAGAGGAAGGUGGAAUUCCCGGUGUAGCAGUGAAAUGCGUAGAGAUCGGGAGGAACACCGAUGGCGAAGGCAGGUCUCUGGGCUGACACUGACGCUCAUGCACGAAAGCGUGGGGAGCAAACAGG